AUUCUCUUAUUCCACUUAUUAAGAGGUAGUGGAGACUAUUAAAUGUCUAAUUGUUAUAGCUGGACUUGACAUUAAAAUAGGCUCGGAUCUGGGAUGUGGGACUGUUUGCCAGAGAGCUUGCACCUGGACAAAUGUCCUUGAGCAUCAGAAUACAAAGACGCUCUAAGGGACUAAUGAUAACUCCUUGGAUGUGCAGUUGGGGCAAAUAUGAACAAUAAGACACAAAAAGGCUUCUGAGAUGCCUGGAGGAAAAUCCGUGUACUUCACAUAGUCCCUGCACACAACAUCACCAAGGGGGUGGGCAGACCAUGCAAGCUACAUCUUUUGCCCAACCCAUGAUCCAUCUUUGUUGUUACUCCUUUUAAGGACCCAAGCAGCUCCUCUGGGAGAAUGAGCAGGGGUACCUGUUACUUAUUUUUGCUUCCUUGUGCCCAUUGCAAGACCAGACCUCAGAAAGAUAUUAAGUAGAAGUUAUAAGAACAGAAAACCUUACUAGAUUCCAAUUCCUGAUUUUGGGGGAAAGAUUUUAGCUCUUCUCCAAUAAUGUAGAUUAGCUGCAGUAUUUUGUAAAUACCAUGUAUUAGAUGGUAGAAAUCUUCAUUUAUUCCUAGUUUAAAGUGAAAAAUCUAGAAGCAAAAAUAGUUUAUUCAGCAAGGCUGUCAUUCAUAUUUGAUGGAGAAUUCAAAAGUUUUAGAAGGCAAAAGCUUAAAGAGUUCAGAACCCCCAAACCAGCUGUAGAGAAGUGUUAAAGAGAGUUUUUUUUUUUUUUAAAUCAGAAAUAUAAAGCCAAAACUAGAGACAUGAAAAAUAAGACAUGAAAAGCUCCUUGGCCUAGGUAAAUUCAUCAUACAGGUUGUAAAUCAACCACAUAGAAAGCUAACAGAAAGUUACAGACAAAGGUAGUAAAAUCAUCUAUAUCCACAACAGGAAGUUAGGGCAUACACGACAAAUCAAUGUAAAAUAUUACGUCAAGAAACAUAAUCAGGAGUUCCCAUUGUGGCUUAAUGGGUUAAGAAUCUCAUUAGUAUCCCUGAGGAUGUGGGUUUGAUCCCUGCCAUCACCAGUAGUUUAAGGAUCCGCAUUGCUGUGGUUAUGGCAUAGGCCAGCAGCUGCUGCUCCAAUUAGACCCCCAUCCUGGGAACUUCCAUGUGCCAUGGCAGCAGCUGUUAAAAAAAGAGAUGGAGAGAGAAAAUAAACCCUCUAUCAUGACAAUAACAGUGUAAAAAUACAGUGUUGUUAAAAUGCAUUGGAAAGCAAGAGAUUACUUCCUUAAAUUAAUCAUAGAUACAUAGACUACUAUGCAUAAAUCACAUGGUAACAACAAACCAAAAAUCUAUAAAAGAUAAACACACAGAGAAAAAAGAAAGGAAUCCUAACAUAACACUAGAGAUUUUCCUCAAAUCACAAUAAAACAGAAAAAAAGAUGUAAGAAAAAUAACUGCAAAAAUGACAAUGUGUACAUUCCUAACAAUCAUUACUUUAAUAGUUAAUGGACUAGAUGUUCCUAUUGAAAGACAAACCAUGGCUGAAUGGUUCUAAAAGCAAGACUAGAUAUAUAUAAUGCCUAGGAGAUAUUCACUUCAGCUCAGAAUACACACAAAUAUUGAAAGUAUGGGAUGGUAAAAGGUAUUCCACAAUGGAAGUAAAAACAAAGCCUUGGUAGCCCUAUCAGACAAAAAGAAUGUCAAAUAUAGAGUGUUAUAAGAGACAAGGAAGGACCUUAUAUAAUCACCAAGGGAUCAACCCAAGAAGUAUGGAAAUAUAUAGGCAGCUGAAAUAGGACAAUUUGAUAAAGCAAAUAUUAACAGACACAAAUGAAGUAGUUGACAGUAACAUAAUAAUAGUACUGGCCUUUAGCACUCCACUCAUAUCAAUGGACAGAUCAUCCAGAGAGAAAAUCAAUAAAGAAACAUUAAGUGACACUUUAGAUGAGGUGGACAUCAUAGAUAAAUGUAGACCAUUCCAUCCAAAAGCAGCAGAAUAUACAUUCUUUUCAAGGGCACAUGGAAUACUCACCAGGAUAGAGCAUAAGCUAAGUCACAAAACAAGCCUCAGUAUUUUAGCAAACUGAAAUCGUAUCAAGUAUCUUUUGCAACCCCACGCUAUGAGAUUAGAAGUCAACCACACACACCCAUAAAAAAACAGUACUGUAAAGAACACAAGCAUGUUGAAACCAAACCCUAUGCUUCUAAUGACCAAUAGACCACUGAAUAAAUCAAAGAAGAACAAAUGAAAAUGAAAACACGGUGAUCCCAAAUCUGGGACACUGCAAAAGCAAUCUAAGGGGGAAGUUCAUACUGAUACAACCUUACUUCAGGAGCAAGAGAAAUCUCAAAUAACCAACCUAACCUUGCACCUAAAGGAAUUAGAGAAAGAAGAACAAACAAAACCCAAAUUUAAUAGAAGGAGAUAAAUCAUAUAUAUCAAAUCAGAAAUAAAUGAUACAGAAGCUAAUGAAACAAUAGAGAAAAUCAAUGAAACUCAGAGUUUUUUUCUUCAAAAAGAUGAACCAAUGUAAUAAACCUUUAGCUAGACUCAUUAAAAAAACCAGAGAGCCCUAAUCAAAAAAAUCAGAAAUAAAAAAGAAGUUACAGCUGACACCACAGAAAUAUAAAGAAUACUGGGAGACUACUGCGAACAACUAUACACCAAUAUAUUGGACAACCUGGAAGAAUGAACCAAAUCCAAGAGAUGUACAAUCUCCCAAGACUGAACCAGUAAGAAAUAGAAUAUAAGUUCAGACUAAUUACCAGUAAUGAAAUUCAAUGAGUAAUAAAUAAAUUCCCAACAAACAAGAGUUUAGGGCCAGAUUGUUUCACAGGUGGAUUCUACCAAACAUAUAGAGAAGAGUUAACACCUAGUUUCAAGCUGUUCCAAAAAAUUGUAGAGGAAGGAACGCUUGUGAGGCCAGCAUCACAUGGAUUCCAAAACCAGACAGACACUACAAAAAAGAAAAUUCCAGGGCAACAUCACUGAUGAACAUAGAUGCAAAAAUCGUCAACAAAAUAGUAGCAAACUGAGUCCAAAAAUACAUUAAAAUGAACGUACACUGUGAUCAAGUGGGAUUUAUCCCACAGAUGCAGUGAUAGUUCAAUAUUCAUACAACAAUCAUGUAAACACAUUAACAAUCUGAAGAAUAAAAAAUAUGAUCAUGCCAAUUGAUGCAGAAAUUGUUUUGCUGAUAUUCAACAUACAUUUAUGGUAAAGACUCUCCAGAGAGUGGUACAGAGGAAACAUUUCUCAACAUAAUAAGGGCCAUAUAUGACAAGCUGAAAACCUUUCCAUGGUGAAAACCUGAAAAUCUUUCCUCUAAGGUAGAGAGAUGAGACAAGGAUGCCCACACUCACACUGCUAUUCAGUGUAGUGUUGGAAGUCCCCAGCACAUCAAUUGGAUAAGAAAAAGAAACAAAAAAUCCAAAUUGGAGAGGGAGAAGUAAAAAGGUCACUCUUUGCAGAUGACAUGAUUCUAUCCAUAGAAAAUCCUACAGAGGCCAAGAAAAAAACUACUAGAGCUCAUCGAUGAAUUCCAUAAUGUUGCAGGAUAGAAAAUUAAUAUGCAGAAAUCUGAAGUAUUUCCAUACAUUACCAAUGAACUAUCUGAAAGGGAAAUUAGGGGGAGUUCCCAUCAUGGCGCAGUGGAAAUGAAUUCGACUAGGAACCAUGAGGUUGUGAGUUCGAUCCCUGGACUCGCUCAGUGGGUUAAGGAUCUGGCAUUGCUGUGAGCUGUGGUGUAGGUCACAGAUGCAGCUCGGAUCUGGCAUUGCUGUGGCUCUGGUGUAGGCUGACAACUACAGCUCUGAUUUGACCCCUAGCCUGGGAACCUCCCUAUGCCACGGGUGUGGGCAAAAAAAAUAAAAAAAGAGGGAAAUUAGGAAAUAAUUCCAUUUAAAACCGCAUCAAAAACAAAACAAAAAAUCACCUUAGCAAUAAACUUCCGUAAGGAGGCAAAAGACCUGUAUCCAUAAAACUAUAGGUACAUCAGUGUACUAAGACACUGAUGAAAUAAUUGAACAAAAAAUAGUUAAUGGAUAGGAAGAUAUACUAUAGCCAUUGAUUGGAAGAAUGAAUAUUGUUAAUAUUACCAUACUACCCAAGACAAUCUAAGGAUUCAAUGCAAUCCCUAUCAAAAUAGAAAUGGGACUUUUCACAGAACUAGAACAAAUAACUUAGAAAUUUGUAUGAAGAUAUCCCAUCAUGGCUCAGCAGUAACAAACCCAAGUAGCAUCCAUGAGGACGCAGGUUUGAUCCCUGGUCUGGCUCAUUGGGUUAAGGAUCUAGCAUUGCUGUGAGCUGUGUUGUACGUCACAGAUGUGGCUCAGAUUCUGCAUUGCUGUGGCUCUGGUAUAGGCCAGCGGCUAAGCUCCAAUUUGACCCCUAUACUGGGAACUUCCAUAUGCCAUGGUUGAGGCCUUAAAAAUAAAAAUUUGUAUGAAAUUCCAAAAGAGCCCAAAUCGCCAAAAUGAUCUUGAGAAGGAAGAAUACAACUGGAGGGAUCACAACCUUUGACUUUAGAUUAUACUAUAGCCACAGAUAUCAAAGCAGUAGUGUACUGACACAAAAACAGACACUUAAAUCAAUGGAACAGAACAGAGAGCCUAGAAAUCAAUUCACACUCUUAUGGUCAAUUGACAUUUGAUAAAGGAAGCAAGAAUAUACUACGGAAAAAGGACUGUCUAUUCAAUAGGUAGUGCCAGGAAAACUGGACAGUACAUAUGAAAGACUGAAAUUAGAACAUUUUCCCAAACCAUACACAAAAAUAAACCCUAAAUGGCUUAAAUAGUUAAUGCAGGACUUGAAACCAUAAAACUCACAGAAGAAAACAUAGGCAAAACACUCUUUGACUUAAAUUGUAACAACACUUUUUGGUUCUGUCUCCUAAACCAAUGGAAAUAAAAACAAAGUAAAACAAAAUUUGGCUCUAAUUAAACUUAAAUGCUUUUACACAGCAAAUAAAACUACUGACAGAAUGAAAAGAUAAUCUAAUGAGUGAGAGAAAAUAUUUGCAAGUGAAAUGACAGAUAAGGAGUUAAUAUCCAAAAUAUACACACAGCUCAUUCGAGUCAACAUCAAACAAAACACCCAGCUGAAAAAUGCAUAGAAGACCUAAAUAGACAUUUUCCCAAUGAAGACAUAAAGAUGGCCAACAGUCACAGGAAAAAAAUCCUCAAAUCUGGAACAAUCAGAAAAAUGCAAAUCAAAAACACGUGAGAGAUCAUCUGUCUUUUGUCAGAAUGGCUAUUGGCCAAAGACAGCAAAUAAUCAAUGCUAAUGGGAUGCAGAGAAAAGAGAACCCCAGUACUACUGGUGGGAAUGCAAAUUGGUGUGGCCAGUGCACAAAACAGUAUGGAGUGUCCUCCAAAAACGCAAAAUUGAACCACCCAAUGAUUCAGCAAUUCCACCCCUGGGUACAUAUACAAAGAAUAUAAGAACAUUAGUUUGAACAGACAUGGGCACCCCCAUGUUCAUAGUGGUAUUAUUUAUAAAAGGAAUGAUGUGGAAGGAGCCUACGUGUCCAUCAAAAGACGAUGGAUAAUAAAAAUAGGGUACAUAUACACAAUGGAAUAAGUCUCAGCAUAAAAAAGAAUGAAAUGUUGCCAUUUGCAGCAACAUGAAUGGUUCUGGAAGAUAUUACGCUUACUGAAAUAAGUCAGAGAAAGACAUAUACUGUAUGUCAUCACUUUAUGUGGAAUCUAAAAGAAUAACACAAACUAGUGGUUAUACAAAAAAUAAAAAAGAGGAGUUCCCAUCAUGGCUCAGUAGUUAAUGAAUCUGACUAACAUCCUUGAGGACGCAGGUUUGAUUCUUGGCCUUGCUCAGUGGGUUAAGGAUCUGGCACUGCCAUGAGCUGUGGUGUAGGUUGUAGACACGGCUCAGAUCCUGUGAUGCUGUGGCUGUGGCAUAGGCCAGCAGCUACAGCUCCAAUUUGAUCCCUAGCCUGGGAACCUCCAUGUGCCACAAUGCGGCCCUAAAAAGCAAAAAAAAAAAAAAAAAAAA
rnacentral:lncRNA from 1 species